UGGUGGCUGUGAGCAGAUCUGCACAAGUCAAGUAACAGGCGCUGUGUGCAGCUGUGUGACAGGAAUGCUGCAAAGAGAUGGGAAGAGCUGCCGAGUCACCAGUAUGAGUACUGACCUUCAACCCCUGCUUCUUCUGAUAGCUGUUGUUGUAAGCGUCAAUAUCUUACUGCAAACACACACCUCAGUUUUCUUCUCUUAACACCCACCAAGCAAGUUCAAGGGAGAGAGAGGCGUAUACCGACGAAAGGGAAGAGAAAAGAAAAGCAAAACGGAGCCAGUGAAGGGAUAUGCAUGUGAUGCAUCAGCAGUCCUGCAGUGAGGACCACCUCUGAGCAGUUCCCUUCAUCGAAGUGAAAACUGUGAUCAAAUGUAACCAAGUGAUCCUUCACCAGCUGGACAUCUCAAACAUAAACAACAUGCCUCGAUCCAAUAUGAUAACCUGACUUCCUUCAGACCCUGAAAAAAAUCCCAAAUCUUUUCUUUGGCACAACAUCUAAACACCAGAAACCAAAAAAAAAGAGAAGCAAACUGUCACUUUGAAACGUAGUGAUAAAAAGACAACUACUGAAUAUUUUCCAGCUACUAAUGACAGAUUAGCAAGAUUUACAUAUUAGAUGAUGCAUUUCCCUAAAAGAAAAAAAAUCACUGAAACGUGAGAGCACGUGUUGCAAGAAUGGAUGAUAAUUCUCAACACCAGUUAUAUUGUUGUUGUUUUUAUUUAGUUGAUUUGAUGAAAUGCAUACCCUAUCUUGAUCUAUUUCUCAAUAUGCCAUGUUGUUUCUUAUUUAAACCCAUUUUUUUUGCCAUACUAAAGUAUUGCUGAGAUCAAAAUGCCAAUCAACAUUUGCAUUGCUUUGUAUUCCUGUGGAUGCAAAUGAGUGAAUAGUGUUCGGUACCAACACACAAAUGUUCUUGAGUAGCCAACUUUUCAAGCAUCACUUAUUUAAGCUGUAUAUAAUAGGCCAUGUUUGAUGGACGUGAACUCUUUUGCCCUGUACUAUAAAUACUCAAUGUACUGUAUGAAUCACUGACAUAAGGUGAAUUUUUAGUCUUCAACUCCAUUUGGAAUUUAGUUUGGCUAUAUCACUCAUACUUGAUGAUGAUGAUAAUGAUAUUAAUGGAAGAUUCAAGGACGGUUUCUAAUCACUUUGCUCAUGACACCACACAACUGUAGGUUUGGGACUGCCGUGACACCGUGGGAACGUAUGUAGUCAGCUGAUUGGUGACCAAACCCUUGAUGUCCAUACUUACUGUAACAAUGUUUUCUUAUUCUAGGGGGUUGUUUGUUUGUUUUGUUUUGUUUUUAAUCCGAUAUGAUUUAUUUGAGAAUAAAGUGAGCAAUUCACAUGGA